CCUGCCCCUAGAGGCUUUGCAUGUGUGGUUACUGUGUCAUAUAUGUUUCAGUAGGCAGAAGAGAGGAGACAGUCUAUGUCUAUGCUCAGGGUUCUGACCUAUGAACAGCUGAAUGAUUUGUAGCCUAAAAUU